AACNGAUGAACUGGCAGCUCUCCUGCUAGU
rnacentral:piRNA from 1 species